AUUGAACGCUGGCGGCAGGCCUAACACAUGCAAGUCGAGCGGAUGAAGGGAGCUUGCUCCUGGAUUCAGCGGCGGACGGGUGAGUAAUGCCUAGGAAUCUGCCUGGUAGUGGGGGAUAACGUCCGGAAACGGGCGCUAAUACCGCAUACGUCCUGAGGGAGAAAGUGGGGGAUCUUCGGACCUCACGCUAUCAGAUGAGCCUAGGUCGGAUUAGCUAGUUGGUGGGGUAAAGGCCUACCAAGGCGACGAUCCGUAACUGGUCUGAGAGGAUGAUCAGUCACACUGGAACUGAGACACGGUCCAGACUCCUACGGGAGGCAGCAGUGGGGAAUAUUGGACAAUGGGCGAAAGCCUAAUCCAGCCAUGCCGCGUGUGUGAAGAAGGUCUUCGGGUUGUAAAGCACUUUAAGUUGGGAGGAAGGGCAGUAAGUUAAUACCUUGCUGUUUUGACGUUACCAACAGAAUAAGCACCGGCUAACUUCGUG
rnacentral:rRNA from 1 species